UAUUAAAUAUUCCACCCAUUUAUACUAUUAAAAACUGGCAUGGCUAACAAAAACACCAAAUAGUGACAUGUGACAUGUCACGUACACCUUAGGCUGACGUACAGGGACUAACUUUUAACAGCAAAAUGGAUGAAAUUUUUAACA
rfam:Gossypium raimondii Chr11_contig_15, whole genome shotgun sequence.